rnacentral:rRNA from 1 species
GCCCACUGAAAUUUGAAUGGCCGCGGUAUUUUGACCGUGCUAAGGUAGCAUAAUCAUUAGUUUUUUAAUUGAAAGCUGGAAUGAAGGGUUGGAUGAAAAAAUAGCUGUCUCAUUAUAAUUUAAUUAGAAUUUUAUUUUUAAGUUAAAAAGCUUAAAUUUAUUUAAAAGACGAGAAGACCCUAUAGAGUUUUAUAAUUUUUUUUAUAUAUUUUUUAAGAAUUAAUAAUUUAUUUGAUUAAAAUUAUUUCAUUGGGGUGAUGGAAAAAUUUAAAUAACUUUUUUUAUAUAUUGAUAUUUGUCGAUAAGUUUAUGGUCCAAUAAGUUUGAUUAAAAGAUUAAGUUACCUUAGGGAUAACAGCGUAAUUUUAUUUGAGAGUUCUUAUUGAAAAUAAAAGUUGCGACCUCGAUGUUGGAUUAAAA